CACGUAGGGGGCAAGCGUUGUCCGGAUUCAUUGGGCGUAAAGAGCUCGUAGGCGGUUCGAUAAGUCGGGUGUGAAACCUCCAGGCUCAACCUGGAGACGCCACCCGAUACUGUCGUGACUAGAGUCCAGUAGGGGAGCGUGGAAUUCCUGGUGUAGCGGUGAAAUGCGCAGAUAUCAGGAGGAACACCAAGGGCGAAGGCAGAUCUCUGGGCCGUAACUGACGCUGAGGAGCGAAAGCAUGGGAGCGAACAGG
rnacentral:rRNA from 1 species